UACGGGGGGAGCAAGCGUUGUUCGGAUUCACUGGGCGUAAAGGGUGCGCAGGUGGCUGUGUAAGUUUGAUGUGAAAUCUCCGGGCUCAACCCGGAAAUGGCAUUGAAUACUACAUGGCUGGAGGUUUGGAGGGGGACUGGAAUUCUCGGUGUAGCAGUGAAAUGCGUAGAUAUCGAGAGGAACACCUGCGGCGAAGGCGGGUGCUGGGCUGAGUACUGACGCUGAGGCGACGAAAGCUAGGGGAGCGAACGGG
rnacentral:rRNA from 1 species